rnacentral:rRNA from 1 species
UACGGGGGGGGCAAGCGUUGUUCGGAAUUACUGGGCGUAAAGGGCUCGUAGGCGGCCAACUAAGGCGGAUGUGAAAUCCCCAGGCUCAACCUGGGAACUGCAUCCGAUACUGGAUGGCUUGAAUUCGGGAGAGGGAUGCAGAAUUCCAGGUGUAGCGGUGAAAUGCGUAGAUAUCUGGAGGAACACCGGCGGCGAAGGCGAGGCUCUGGCCCAUUACUGACGCUGAGACGCGAAAGCUAGGGGAGCAAACGGG